AUUGAACGCUGGCGGCAGGCCUAACACAUGCAAGUCGAACGAGUGGCGGACGGGUGAGUAAUGUCUGGGAAACUGCCUGAUGGAGGGGGAUAACUACUGGAAACGGUAGCUAAUAACGCAUACCAUCGGAUGUGCCCAGAUGGGAUUAGAUAGUAGGUGGGGUAAAGUCUAACCUAGGCGACGAUUCCUAGCUGGUCGGAGAGGAUGAACAGCCACACGGGAACGUAGACACGGUCCAGAUGCCUAAGGGAGGCAGCAGUGGUGAAUAUUGCACAAGGGGCGCAAGCCUGAUGCAGCCAGGCCGAGUGGAUGAAGAAGGCCUUCGGGUUGUAAAGGACUUUCAGCGGGGAGGCGUUACCCGCAGAAGAAGCACCGGCUAACUCCGUGCCAGCAGCCGCGGUAAUAC
rnacentral:rRNA from 1 species